GGGCCGGUCGUCUAGCCUGGUUAGGACGUCGCUCUGACACGGCGAAGGUCGCAGGUCCAAAUCCUGCCCGGCCCACCA
rnacentral:tRNA from 1 species